GCAUUGUUGGUGCAGUGGUAGAAUUCUUGCCUUCCCGCAGGAGACUCAGGUUCGAUUCCUGGUCAAUGCU
rnacentral:tRNA from 1 species